rnacentral:rRNA from 1 species
CAAUAGCGUAUAUUAAAGUUGUUGCAGUUAAAAAGCUCGUAGUUGGAUUUCUGGUAGGAGCGACCGUGCCGAACUUGAUUGUUCGAGUAUUGUGUUGUCUUCAGCCAUCCUCGUGGAGAACUUUUCUAACAUUAACUUGUUGGGAUUGGGACCCGCGUCGUUUACUGUGAAAAAAUUAGAGUGUUUAAAGCAGGCAUUAGCUUGAAUACAUUAGCAUGGAAUAAUAAGAUAGGACGUUGGUACUAUUUUGUUGGUUUGCAUACCAAAUUAAUGAUCAACAGGAACAGUUUGAGGAUAUUCGUAUGAACAUGUCAGAGGUGAAAUUCUUGGAUUUUGAUCAGACGAACUACUGCGAAAGCAUUUAUCAAGGAUGUUUUCAUUAA